UGAAGAGUUAUAUUGACUUAU
rnacentral:piRNA from 1 species